rnacentral:lncRNA from 1 species
ACCAACAUUUUCUUAAUAGGCCCUUCAUACAUACAUAUAUUUAUUUAUCAUUUGUUCAUACAUUCAUAAUAAAAAAUAAUUGAGGAGUAAGAAAUCUCAAAUUCAUUAUUUUAAGAAGUUUAUCCCAAUUUGUAUCAAACUGCCAUUAUUGACUGCUGAUUUUAAUUAAAAUUGCUGUAUAAAUUAGAAUCAAACAGGCUUGUUCUUUUUGUAUAUUUCAUACUUUUUUUUCUUUCUUUUUUUUUAUCCUGUACAUGUCUGUUUUUUUAAAGGCUAAUUUCCAGAAAACAACAAUACAUAAAAAUAAACGAGAAAAGAAAAAAAACUAAACAGCAACAUAUUAUUUGCUUGUUUUCUUUUGUUUUUCUUUUCUGGUUGAAAAUGGUUAAAAUUUUUUUGCUUAAUUUAGCAAAAAGUUUUUGUUCCUAAUCACUUAACUUUACAGAAUUUACUAGAUGGGUAAUCCAGAAUGUAAAUUAUUUAAAGGAGAACAUAUCCUUUUUUAGACAUAUUUUCUAAAUUUUUGUCUAUUACCUUAUUUUAAUUAAUUUGCUCUCGAUUUUCCUUUGGAAUCAACCAGAAUUUUUCUUCUGUAAUUUUAAUGUGUUUCAAAUGUUCAGUGAUUAGUUUUUAAAAAAUCCCCACAAAAACCUGGAAGAGAAUGGUUUAAUGAUAUUCACAUGGGCCAUUCUCUUACUUGUUUGUCCUUCGGAAAGAUUUAUCUGGAAAUUAUGCUGUUUAUUUUUUCAUUACUUGUUUUAUUAAUUUAUUUUCUUAUUUGCUCUCCUUUAUACAUAAAUAGACACUUUCUCUGUGAUAUACUGCUAUCGUUAGGAAGAUAAGGUUUUUCCGGGUCAGUAUUUCUAUCUCUUGAUAAAGUUAUUUUUAUUCUCCUUAAAAACAAUUGAUAAAUGAUCUCAGGGUCUACUUCAGAUGUCAUAAACAAAAACAAGCUUUGAUAAUAAUUGAUAGUUAUACCAAAUAACCUAAAACAAAGAUAGACAAAUAGAAAAACAUGAGCAAACUAUAACAAGUCGAAACGAAUCAGAUGACAUGAAAGACUCUUUAUUUACAUCUUCUUAUCUCAUAUUGAUUAUUUUCAUUUACUCAAGUUCUCCCACCAACUGUCUCAGCUGAUAAUUAAGCAUCAUACUGCAGAACAGAUAAAAAUUUGGUUCUGUUUUCAGUGACUAAGAUAGUUACAUUUUCUCUUCAUUAUGUUUAUUUAUUAAUGAUUCUAUAAAAAGAACUUUCUUAAUCAAAUGGGGUUUGUUUCAUCAGAUCUAAAGUCUUAAUGAUCCAAAUGAUAUCUACAUAGAUCUUUAAAUAUUUUAUAUUUAAAAUUCAGACAUCAAGGUGUGUUUUUUUUUUUAAUUUUGUUUUUUUUUUAAUUUUAUUUUUUUGUUAGGGAAAAAAUGAAUUAAAAAGAAACAGGUCUCCUACUCUCUGCUAUACACAACUAUUUGUAUUUGUGAUUGACCCCUUCUGAUAAUUAGCUCCACAUUACUGCUGGUUAAUAAUGGCAUAGCAUACACAUUACUUUUGUAACUUGUUUUGACUUUAGUAUCAGACUCAGUAGGUCUCUGUUUAUAACAAUAUAUAUUCAGUCCAGAAGGUGGAGCUAAAAUGCCAUAUGUCUUGGCAUUUAUCAUGAAACCUUUUGAGACACUACACAAAUUAGGUCAUGUUGUUGGAUACAUAAGAAUGGGCUAAUUUUUUUAAUUGUUGCAGUAUAUUGUGUUAUUGCUUAACUGGAAAAAGAAAUAUAUACAUGGUAAAUGUUAGUGUGUUCUUUAAAAAAAGCAAAAAAAAAGUUUUAAAAAAACCCUAUCCCACCACAAAUUCAGUCACAAGCCUAAAGGAUUAUAAACCGAAAUUAAUUUAAAUUCUGUAUGUAAUCUUCCUUUUGUAUCAUUAAGGAUAAAUAUAUAUUUAUAUAUACAUAUAUUUUUGUUGCUGUUUAUAUAUGUUUGAUAUUUUUCUGGGGCAAUAUGAAAUUUGUUCCGUGUACAUUGUAAAUUUUGCAUAUAUAUUUAUUAUUUUUCAUUAAAUUAAGCCUUAUAUGUUAAU